GGAGGGUUCGCCUAAUGGUAUGGCAGUAGUCUUGAAAACUACCGGGAGUAAUCCCUUAGAGGUUCGACUCCUCUACCCUCCGCCA
rnacentral:tRNA from 1 species